AACGCAUAUUGCACUCCUUUUUGGAGUAUGCCUGUUUGAGAAUCUAUAGUAACUUUUCUACAGUAUUAAUCAAUUGUAGAAGAUUUGGCGUUUCUUUACAUUUGUAUAGUACGCUUAAACUUAUAGCUAGUCACUUUUAAGAGUGCCAAAGCAAAAAUGUUUGAAACUCAUAUUCGAGUAAUUAACCUACAUUUUUACUUUGCGAUAAAACACUCUGAUAGUAACUAGCUCACCCGAGGUUCUAUUUUGAACCCAAGGAGGCUACCAAAAUAGCCCGAACCAUGGUCUCAAAUCAGGUAGGAGGACCCGCUGAACUUAA
rnacentral:misc_RNA from 1 species